rnacentral:rRNA from 1 species
UACGGGGGGGGCAAGCGUUGUUCGGAAUUACUGGGCGUAAAGGGCUCGUAGGCGGCCAACUAAGUCAGACGUGAAAUCCCCAGGCUCAACCUGGGAACUGCGUCUGAUACUGGAUGGCUUGAAUCCGGGAGAGGGAUGCAGAAUUCCAGGUGUAGCGGUGAAAUGCGUAGAGAUCCGGCGGAACACCGGUGGUGAAGGCGGCUUCCUUGGCCGAACCCGACGCUGAGGCGCGAGAGCGCGGGGAGCGAACCGG